rnacentral:rRNA from 1 species
AGAGUUUGAUCCUGGCUCNGGAUAAGUCGUAACAAGGUAGCCGUAGAGUUUGAUCCUGGCUCAGGAUAAGUCGUAACAAGGUAGCCGUANAGAUUUGCCGGNGANNGCCGGAUUAAUACCGCAUACGAUCUGUGGAUGAAAGCGGGGGAUCUUAGGACCUCGCGCUACAGGGGCGGCCGAUGGCAGAUUAGCUAGUUGGUGGGGUAAAGGCCUACCAAGGCGACGAUCUGUAGCUGGUCUGAGAGGACGACCAGCCACACUGGGACUGAGACACGGCCCAGACUCCUACGGGAGGCAGCAGUGGGGAAUUUUGGACAAUGGGCGCAAGCCUGAUCCAGCAAUGCCGCGUGUGUGAAGAAGGCCUUCGGGUUGUAAAGCACUUUUGUCCGGAAAGAAAACCUCCGUCCUAAUACGGUGGGGGGAUGACGGUACCGGAAGAAUAAGCACCGGCUAACUACGUGCCAGCAGCCGCGGUAAUACGUAGGGUGCAAGCGUUAAUCGGAAUUACUGGGCGUAAAGCGUGCGCAGGCGGUUCGCUAAGACAGAANNGUGAAAUCCCCGGGNCUUAACCUGGGAACUGCAUUUGUGACUGGCGGGCUAGAGUAUGGCAGAGGGGGGUAGAAUUCCACGUGUAGCAGUGAAAUGCGUAGAGAUGUGGAGGAAUACCGAUGGCGAAGGGCAGCCCCCUNGGGCCAAUACUGACGCUCAUGCACGAAAGCGUGGGGAGCAAAACAGGAUUAGAUACCCCUGGUAGUCCACGCCCUAAACGAUGUCAACUAGUUGGUCGGGUCUUCAUUGACUUGGUAACGUAGCUAACGCGUGAAGUUGACCGCCUGGGGAGUACGGUCGCAAGAUUAAAACUCAAAGGAAUUGACGGGGACCCGCACAAGCGGUGGAUGAUGUGGAUUAAUUCGAUGCAACGCGAAAAACCUUACCUACCCUUGACAUGUAUGGAAUCCUGCUGAGAGGUGGGAGUGCCCGAAAGGGAGCCAUAACACAGGUGCUGCAUGGCUGUCGUCAGCUCGUGUCGUGAGAUGUUGGGUUAAGUCCCGCAACGAGCGCAACCCUUGUCCCUAGUUGCUACGCAAGAGCACUCUAGGGAGACUGCCGGUGACAAACCGGAGGAAGGUGGGGAUGACGUCAAGUCCUCAUGGCCCUUAUGGGUAGGGCUUCACACGUCAUACAAUGGUCGGAACAGAGGGUCGCCAACCCGCGAGGGGGAGCCAAUCCCAGAAAACCGAUCGUAGUCCGGAUCGCACUCUGCAACUCGACUGCGUGAAGCUGGAAUCGCUACCAAUCGCGGAUCAACACGCUACGGGGAACCCGUAGAGUUUUAUCCUGGCUCAGGAUAANUNGUAACAAGGUAGCCGUAGAGUUUGAUCCUGGCUCAGGAUAAGUCGUAACAAGGUAG